UGAGGUGGGAAGGCUAAACUGAGGAAUUAUGUCUGACAGAACAGAAGAAAUGACUGCAGUGGCCUUCUCAGACCCUGUAGGAAAGGCCUCUACCUAUCCAGUGGAAGUAUCUACCUAGACUAAGAGGUAUUUUAGUUAUCUGACUCAGGGCAUGUUGAGUGAAGCUAAUUUGCCAGUCCUGGGUGGGGCAAAUCCUCGAGCUUGAUGUGUAGGGAAGGGAGGGGGGCCUGAAUAAUCCCUGAGGAGUAGUAGAAUAGCAGGUGGAACACUGAGAAGUUAUUUCCUUGAGGAUAGAUUUCCACGAUGGAAAGGAAAUGAGAGGUUCUAAGAGGCGGGCUAGUGGCUUGUACUAUAGCAUAACCUGCCUUUGCUGGUGUGUGGCGAUUAGGCCUGGUGGAACCGCCAUCAAUAAAUCAAGCGUGAUCAGGGUGAGGAACAGGAAAGAAGGAAAUGUGGGGAAAUGGGGUGAAUGUCAGGUGGAUCAGAGAGAUACAGUCAUGGGGGUCAGGUGCGGUAUCAGGAAUAAUGUGGGAGGCCGGAUUGAGGUCUGGGCCAGGAACAACGGUAAUUGUGGGAGACUCAACAAAGAGUGAGUAUAGCUGAAGGAGCCAGGAAGCAGAAAGUAUAUGCGUCAGGUAUGAGGAAGAAAAUAGAUUUUGGAAGUUAUGAGAACUGUAGAGAGUGAGUUGAGAAUAGUUUGUGAUUUUGAGGGCCUCUAAAAGUAUUAAAGCAGCGGCAGCUGCUGCACGCAGACAUGAGGGCUAGGCUAAAACAGUAAGGUCAAGUUGUUUGGACAGAAAGGCUACAGGGUGUGGUCCUGGCUCUUGUGUAAGAAUUCUGACCACACUAACCAUGCCUAGGAAGGAAAGGAGUUGUUGUUUUGUAGAAGGUGCUUGGGUUUGAGAGAUCAGUCGAACAUGAUUGGCAGGGAGAGCACGUGUGUUUUUAUGAGAAUUAUGCCGAGAUAGGUAACAGAUGAGGAAGAAAUUUGGGCUUGAUUGAAGUAAUGGGGGCUGUCUGUGAAGCUCUGCGGCAGUACAGCCCAGGUAAUUUGCUGAGCUUGAUGGGUGUCAGGGUCAGUCCAAGUGAAAGCGAAGAGAGGCUGGGAUUAAGGGUGCAAAGGAAUAGUAAAGAAACAUGUUUGAGAUCUAGAACAGAAUAAUGGGUUGUAGAGACAGAUAUUGAGGAUAGGAGAGUAUAUGGGUUGGGCACCAUGGGGUGGAUAGGCAAAACAAUUUGGUUGAUAAGGCGCAGAUCCUGAACUAACUUGUAAGGUUUGUCUGGUUUUAGGACAGGUAAAAUGGGGGAAUUGUAAGGAGAAUUUAUAGGUUUUAAAAGGCCAUGCUGUAGCAGGCGAGUGAUAACAGGCUUUAAUCUUUUUAAAGUGUGCUGCGGGAUGGGAUACUGGCGUUGAGUGGGGUAAGGGUGAUUAGGUUUUAAUGAGAUGGUAAGGGGUUCAUGAUCAGUCGCCAAGGAGGGAGUAGAGGUAUCUUAUACUUGUGGGUUAAGGUUGGGGGGAUACAAGAGGAGGACGCAAAGGAGGCUUUGGAUUGGGAAGAAGGGCGGCAAUGAGAUAUAGCUGUAGUCCAGGAAUAGUCAGGGAAGCAGAUAAUUUAGUUAAAGUGUCUCAGCCUAAUAAGGGAACUGGGCAGGUGGGGAUAACUAAAAAGGAGUGCUUAAAAGAGUAUUGUCUACGUUGGCACCAGAGUUGGGGAGUUUUAAGAGGUUUAGAAGCCUGGCCGUCAAUACCCACAACAGUUAUGGAGGCAAGGGAAACAGGCCCUUGAAAAGAAGGUAAUGUGGAGUGGGUAGCCUCUGUAUUGAUUAAGAAGGGGACUGACUUACCUUCCACUGUGAGAGUUACCCAAAGCUCGGCGUCCAUGAUGGUCUAUGGGGCUUCCAAGGUGAUCGGGCAGCGUCAGUCUUCAGCCGCUAAGCGGAGAAGGAGUCAGUCAGAGAGCCUUGGGCCAGAGUUCCAGGGGCUCUGGGAGUGGCUGCCAGGUGAGUUGAACAGUCCGAUUUCCAGUGGGGUCCCGCACAGAUGGGACAUGGCUUAGGAGGAAUCCUGGGCCGCAGGCAUUCCUUGGCCUGGUGGUCAGAUUUCUGGCACUUGUAACAAGUUCCUGGGGGAGGAGGUUCUGGAGGAAUGCCUGGCCGCUGAGGUUCAGGCGUUUGGAAGUUCUUGUGUGCUAGAGAUGCGGCUGGGGUUUGUCUCACAGUGGAGGCAAGGAAUUGCAACUUUUUUCUAUUACUGUACACCUUGAAGGCGAGGUUAAUUAAAUCCUGUUGUGGGGUUUGAGGGCCGGAACUUAAUUUUUGGAGUUUUAUUUAAUGUCGGGAGCAGAUUGGGUAAUAAAAUGUAUAUUGAGAAUAAGAUGGCCUUUUGACCUUUUAGGGUCUAGGGCUGUAAAGCGUCUCAGGGUUGCUGCCGAACGAGCCAUGAACUGGGCUGGGUUUUUAUAUUUGAUGAAAAAGAGCCUAAACGCUAUCUGAUUUGGGAUAAAGAAAAAGGAGCAAUAACCUUGACUAUGCCUUUGGCUCCAGCCACCUUUUUAAGAGUAAAUUGCUGGGCAGGUGGGGGAGGGCGAGUCACGGAACGAAACUAUAAGAAAACUAAAGCUUGGUGAAGUUAAGUCGCUUGCCCCGGAUCACACAGAUCGUGGCAAAACUAACAAUCAAAUUAGGGCCUGACUCCAGAGGCCAAGCUCUGACUUUUACAUGUGCUGCCUCCCAGUGGGAAGAGCUGGCAUCAAGAACGACAUCUUUCACACUGGACAUGUUCACAAAUGACUGGUGAAUACUAAGGGAUUAACAUAAGAUCACUAAACCACCUCUAUGCUCCUCUUUUUGAGAAAAAGAAAAGAAAAAUGAGAAACAAUGGAUCUUCAGAGCUAAGUUGAAGUUAAGGAUUAUUUAGUUUAUUCUCAUUGUUUUAUAAAUGAUUAAAGUAGACCCAGAGAGGACAUUUUUACCAUUGAUACUGCUAUGAUUACUACUAUUGUUGCUAUUAUCAUUGUCUUCAUGUUCUGAGAAGCAGGGCUCAGUCAGCCUUGACACCGUUUCUAAUACUAUUCCCCACUGGAAUGGCUCCAGUUGGUGGCCAGAGAUACUGCUUCAUUUCAAGGAACCAUUCAGACAUUUGCCUGCAAACUUAACGUGACCGCCUCUCAGUCAGGGGGACCUCCUGGAACCAGUGCCUGCUUGCUUUAAAUUCAACAAUUAAACCUGUUUGGAUAACACUCUGAACCCAAUAAAGGCCCCGCAAGAGUGACGCUGCCAGGCAGGCGCCGCCCUGUUCGGUUCCUGCUGCUGUCGCUCCUCGCUCCCCACCACCUCCAGAGCUCCGGUGGGUCACCAUGGAAAGGGAAGCCGCUGCCUGCAAGGCCAGCAGACACAGAGGUCACCCUCCAAUUUUUUCGGGUAACAUUCUGUAAGGACAGAACACCAGGAGGCUACUCCUACCACCAGGAGCAUGUCAGCAAGAAGUCCUGCGGGAAGCAUAUGUCAGCACCAAAGCCUACAUGCCGCACUUGGUCUUUCUCUCAUCACCAUAACAUGGAAGCAAGUACAGCCAUCGACCACAUCGGACCCUGUGGUGGAAGGAGAAGGCAGCACUAUUGCACUUCCACUCGUGUCUCAGAGGCAAGGAAUCUGGCCGCCCCCAGCUAAAUGCAACACUGGGAGCAUGAGGCUUUUAGUCUCCAGUCUCUAUGGCACAGGCAGGCAAAGGCGGUGAGGAUGGGAACCCGACUUUGUGCUCAGUCCAUGUUGUCUGCCAGAACCUUUGAUGGAGUGGACUCAUUUUUUCUCCAUGUCUCAGCAUCUUGUUUAUAUUUUUCAUCAUUUAAUUUAUUUGUUGAAUCCUGGGAAAUUCUAUUCAUUUCAGAAUUCUUUUAGUUUAUCUCACCUACUAUUUUAAACUUUAUUUCUGAGAUUGUAAUUUUAGUGAGUUUUUCUAUUUCCUGAAGUUUUAUUUGCUUGUACUCUUUCCUUUUUUUUCUUUUCUUCUUCUUCUUUUUUUUUUGAGACAGUCUUGCUCUGUUGCCCAGGCUGGAGUGCCAUGGCAUGAUCUCAGCUGUCACCUCCACCUCCCACGUUCAAGCAAUUCUCCUGCCUUAGUGUCCCUAGUAGCUGGGAUGACAGAUGCACGCCACCAUGCCCAGCUAAUUUUUGUAUUUUUAGUAGACGGGGUUUCACCAUGUUAGCCAGGCUGGUCUUGAACUCGGGACCUCAGGUGAUCUGCCCACCUUGGCCUCCCAAAGUGCUGGGAUUACAGGCGUGAGCCACCACACCUGGCCCCUUAUAGUUUCUAUGCCUUUUUUUUUAUCCCCUUUAAUCAUUUGUUAUUUAGGUGAAGAGGGAAAUGCCUUUUUUCCCCAUUCUUACUUGCAUGAUGGCAGGGAAGUGGAGGCGUUAUAUCCCCCAGCAUAUGCCUGGCCCUUCUCUCCUGGGAAUAUAGAGAAAUGUAUUUGAUUGCAAGUUUCAGACGAAUGCCUGGAGGCUUGGCUUGGCUCAUCUCUGCGCUUUUUCCUUUUGUGAAUAAGUUUGCCACAGGGUGAGGUGUUCUCUGCAGCCCUUUUGGGACAAGCUCUCCCUGUCACAUGCCCCAGAAUUACCUGCAAUCAAGUGGUUAAUGUCUGCCUAAUUCUGGGCUUCAGUAUUAGGAAACAUACUUGCUGCGCAUAUACACCACAUCCUCCACCUGAGCUGUGUGUGCAAUGUUUGGUUGCAGCCUCCCUCUGCUACUUUGAAUUACUACUUCUUUUUGUUUUUUGUUUUUUUUUCAGAGGAUAGGGAACACUUAGAAGAUCCCAAACUUACUUUCUUUUAUAUUUUGCUAUUAUAUAUUUUUACAUAUAUAUUCUAUAAUAUCAUAUAUUUUAUUUUAAUGUAUUUUGUUAUAAUCUUAAGUUCUUGAAGAACUAAUGCUCCUCUUUAUGUGUUGCUGAUUUGCUGGUGGUGGAAGGUUUCCUUCUACGUUUUGACUAUUUCUCACUGUAAGCGCAUCCAAUCAAAGCUCAGUUUUUCUAUAGACAUCUACGUAGCCGGGAAACUAAAAUGUCCCUAAGUCCAGAAUGAGGUUGCGUAUGUUGUUCUCAGGUGUCUGAGAGAUAGCACUUGCCAGCGGCCAAUUUUUAUACUAAUUUCACAUCUCUGGGUUUCCCCCAUGAUGCUGUUAAAUGACUUGAACUCUAUGUGGGACACAGUCUGGGCUUUGAUUUCUUUCAGAG
rnacentral:lncRNA from 1 species